AGCAGCCGCGGUAAUUCCAGCUCCAAUAGCGUAUAUUAAAGUUGUUGCAGUUAAAAAGCUCGUAGUUGAAUUUCGGGGUUAGUACGCUGGUCAUGCCUUCGGUAUGUACUGGUGUUACCGAUUCCUACCUUCUGAAGAACCGUCAUGUCAUUAGUUUGGUGUGGCGGGGAAUCAGGACUGUUACUUUGAAAAAAUUAGAGUGUUUAAAGCAGGCUCGCGCUUGAAUACAUUAGCAUGGAAUAAUGAAAUAGGACGUUCGAUCCUAUUUUGUUGGUUUCUAGGAUUGACGUAAUGAUUAAUAGGGAUAGUUGGGGGCAUUAGUAUUCAAUUGUCAGAGGUGAAAUUCUUGGAUUUAUUGAAGACUAACUACUGCGAAAGCAUUUGCCAAGGAUGUUUUCAUUAAUCAAGAAACGAAAGUUAGGGGAUCGAAGACGGUCAGAUACCGUCGUA
rnacentral:rRNA from 1 species